rnacentral:rRNA from 1 species
CCUACGGGAGGCAGCAGUGGGGAAUUUUGCGCAAUGCUCGUAAGAUUGACGCAGCGACGCCGCGUGAAUGCCGAAGGCCUUCGGGUCGUAAAGUUCUUUCGACAGGGACGAAAAUACCUAUGAGUCACUUUGUCUGUCUUGACGUUACCUGUCUCAGCAGACCCGGCUAACUCCGUGCCAGCAGCCUCGGUAAUACGGAGGGGGCGAUCGUUGUUCGGAGUGACUGGGCGUAAAGAGCACGUAGGCGGUGGUGUAAGUCAUUAGUCAAAGACUAGAGCUCAACUUUAGUAAGGAUAGUGAUACUAUAAUACUAGAGUAUAAGAGAGGAUUGCAGAAUUCCUGGUGUAGCGGUGAAAUGCGGAGAGAUCAGGAGGAAUACCGUUAGCGAAGGCGGCAAUCUGGCUGGAAACUGACGCUGAGGUGCGAAAGCGUGGGGAGCAAACAGGAUUAGAUACCCCAGUAGUC